rnacentral:siRNA from 1 species
UGCAAUUGUCUUUUGGGUUGUC